UCCACGACAUUUUUGAUAACAUACACAUCUAAGAACCAAUAUUACUUUGUUUACAUCUACAUUGACGAUACUACCCUCACUAAAUGGCCGACUCUCAGCGUUGAUAAAACCAGUACUGAAUUUUACACUGAACAAUAACCCAUUUCGCUUUGAUAUGGCAACGCUAGCCGUUUCCCCUUUCCAUUCAGUUUUUCGAUUCACAUGAUGCACAAGUGCAUCCAACAUGUUAAUACAAUUUCCUACGUCUUUUCUGGUAUUGGCCGCAGCGCAAUUCUUUUCCGGGUAUGUAUUUAUUCCCUUAAUAAUAAUAAUAGUAUUUUUUUCUCUUUUUUUGGUGCGCCGCCACUAACUUUGAACAUCGCCGCCCUCAACUGACCCGCCCACGCAACAAAACAUCGACCAUUGCUGAGGAUAUUUCGCAAGGGACGAUGUGCGUGACACCAAAUUCCUAACGUGGGGAACUCCCACACCCUGGAGUCUCCAUGCCGGGCCUGGAUUCAAUAAAAAAAUGAUUUAUUCUCCUUAGGAGACUUUUGGCCUUAUAUUGGUUGCGUAUGGAUGUUGGAGGUCCGUCCGUCCACGGACACACAAAAGUUAACAUUAUUUAUUCUGGCCACCAAUGAUCGAAUUUGCUGCUACAAGGGCGCGUGUGCUUUACACAUUUCAUGAUCGCCACACCCAAAGGAGAUCAGCCCACGAAACGGGAUGCCGAUUCUUUGUUGUGGAUGUGUUAUGCCAUAUGACUAGUUUCCGGACAUUUGGCACGAUAACUCUCGAAAGGUAUAUCCGAUUUCGUCCAAACUUGGUACAUCGUAAUAUUAUUAUCAAACUUAGAUCAAGACGGGCAAUAUCGGUCCACUCCUUCUAGUACCUCCCUCACCUAGGGUCACAUCCCCCUAUUAAUGGAAUCAAGUAAGCGGAACUUAUCAAACUUGAUGAAUAUUUCUCUCAACCAGGUGUUUGAUGUGAAUAAGGCAUUUAUCGGACCACUCCGGGUCCCAAUGUUCGUACCAGUAUUUGGCAAAGUGGAAACUUAUGGCAUAUCUUUUAUAAAAAGCAGGAAGAAGUACAUGUAGUCCAAAUCUGGCGUGUUAUAAUAUUUAUAUCAGAAUAAGCUAUGGAAUGAGCAAUAUUGCUUGACACUUUCGGAACGUCCCUCAUAAUUGGUCAGCAUACUAGAAGGACCAUCCUGAGCUGAGGGUAUAUAUCAGUCGGCAAAACCAACAAAGCGAUACCCCCGUGGACACAACCUUUUUUUUUUUUUUUUUUUGAUUGCCGAAAAAACAGACGAUGUACCCCACAUAGCCCAAGGAAAUUCUUCGGGAAACCGCCGACGCACUCUUAGCCCCUUUGUUAUAUAUCUUAUAAAAUUCAAAUUCUAAGGGUUACCUUGCGCUCCAGCCUUGAAUGUGUGGCAAUUGGUAAUACCUUAACCCCGAUGCACACUGACUAAUCCAAACCAACGCACAGGUAUCGUAGUGACUGGCAAUUGGUGGAUAAGGCUGACACUACCGGCACUUCAAUUUUUCUAUAGAAAGGAUGAUGAUGCGGGUGAUGCUUCCUAGUAAUUUGCUGCCACAACCCCAAAAUUACGGUAGAAAUACUGGGUGAAAGACGAAUCACUGGCCCCACUUCUGGAAUACCUGAGGCCAGUAAUGUUGGUGAUUAUGUUCAGGAAAUUUUUGGUCGUUAUUCCCAUAAAAUAAAUAUAAAAACAAACAACAA